GAUGAACGCUGGCGGCGUGCCUAAUACAUGCAAGUCGAGCGAACAGACGAGGAGCUUGCUCCUCUGACGUUAGCGGCGGACGGGUGAGUAACACGUGGAUAACCUACCUAUAAGACUGGGAUAACUUCGGGAAACCGGAGCUAAUACCGGAUAAUAUAUUGAACCGCAUGGUUCAAUAGUGAAAGACGGUUUUGCUGUCACUUAUAGAUGGAUCCGCGCCGCAUUAGCUAGUUGGUAAGGUAACGGCUUACCAAGGCAACGAUGCGUAGCCGACCUGAGAGGGUGAUCGGCCACACUGGAACUGAGACACGGUCCAGACUCCUACGGGAGGCAGCAGUAGGGAAUCUUCCGCAAAGGGCGAAAGCUUGACGGAGCAACGCCGCGUGAGUGAUGAAGGUCUUCGGAUCGUAAAACUCUGUUAUUAGGGAAGAUCAAAUGUGUAAGUAACUAUGCACGUCUUGACGGUACCUAAUCAGAAAGCCACGGCUAACUACGUG
rnacentral:rRNA from 1 species